AGAGUUUGAUCAUGGCUCAGGAUGAACGCUAGCUACAGGCUUAACACAUGCAAGUCGAGGGGAAACGACAUCGAAAGCUUGCUUUUGAUGGGCGUCGACCGGCGCACGGGUGAGUAACGCGUAUCCAACCUGCCCACCACUUGGGGAUAACCUUGCGAAAGUAAGACUAAUACCCAAUGAUAUCUCUAGAAGACAUCUGAAAGAGAUUAAAGAUUUAUCGGUGAUGGAUGGGGAUGCGUCUGAUUAGCUUGUUGGCGGGGUAACGGGCCCACCAAGGCGACGAUCAGUAGGGGUUCUGAGAGGAAGGCCCCCCACCAUUGGAACUGAGACACGGUCCAGACUCCUACGGGAGGCAGCA
rnacentral:rRNA from 1 species